rnacentral:rRNA from 1 species
CAGUCGCCGCGGGAAUACGGGGGGGGCAAGUGUUAUUCGGAAUGACUGGGCGUAAAGGGCACGUAGGCGGUGAAAAGGGUGGAAAGUGAAAGUCGCCAAAACACUGGCGGGGUGCUUUCUUGACCAUUUCACUUGAGUGAGAUAGGGGAGAGUGGAAUUUCGUGUGGAGGGAUCAAAUCCUAAGAUAUACGAAGGAACGCCAACCGCGAAGGCAGCUCUCUGGGUCCCCACUGACGCUGGGGUGCGAAAGCAUGGGGAGCAAACAGGAUCAGAUACCCGAGUAGUCCCUGUCUCUUAUACA